rnacentral:rRNA from 1 species
UGAGCAAUCUGCCCUUCUCUUCGGAAUAAGCGUGGGAAACCGCGUCUAAUGCCGAAUACGACCUCCUUUCGCAUGAUCGGAGGUGGAAAGCUCCGGCGGAGAAGGAUGAGCUCGCGGCCUAUCAGCUAGUUGGUGUGGGUAAUGGCCCACCAAGGCGACGACGGGUAGCCGGCCUGAGAGGGUGACCGGCCACACUGGGACUGAGACACGGCCCAGACUCCUACGGGAGNAG